ACAAUUUCGACGACAAAAUCAGAAAUAAUUCGCCGGUUGGGUGGCAACGCUGCUGCCGCGUCCUUAUGACCAGCUGGCGAGUGGUGAGCCAUUGCUUCUCCCCUAUUCAUGUCAGCACUCCAUAUAUCAAAAUACAAUUUUCUUAUUUCCACUUCUGAACAACAGUGUUUUGUCUUCACGAGAAGCAAUACCAACUUGGAUCCUUGGGAAUUAUGAUGUACGUUCUGCUUCUUCGCUGACUUGUUUCAUGUCCAUGGCAUUUGAGUUUUUAAAAACGACAUGAAUCAUCUAUUUUUCUUUUUCUGCUUUUCUUUUGUAA